rnacentral:lncRNA from 1 species
UUUUCCAAAACAUAAUAUAUAUUUUAAAUUGUUCCAGUGAAGUACAUAAUAAAAAUUCCAAAAUCAAAAUAAAUUAUAAGAUGUCUAACAUAAAGUGUGUAGUGUAAACAAAAUUCUAAUGUUAACUUUUAAGUUUAAACAUAAUCUAAACGAAACAUGAACAACACCUAACCAAAACCUAAUUUCCACAUUGGAAGAGAUAACUUGUCCAUUGAUAUGUUAUUUUCGUGAUGACCUCCUUUGAUAUUGGUGAUGGAUCAUUAAACACCUAAAAAAAACAAUGUAUUAUGUAACUAUAUAUUUAAAAACGUUUAAUUCAUGCAUUAGUUAUAAGUGUUUACCGUUGUCUAAUUAUCAUAAAUUUGUGCAUGAAUGAUAGCUUUGAUCAAAUACAUCACAUAGUAUCACAUUCCC